rnacentral:rRNA from 1 species
GACGAACGCUGGCGGCGUGCUUAACACAUGCAAGUCGAACGGAAAGGCCCUGCUUUUGUGGGGUGCUCGAGUGGCGAACGGGUGAGUAACACGUGAGUAACCUGCCCUUGACUUUGGGAUAACUUCAGGAAACUGGGGCUAAUACCGGAUAGGAGCUCCUGCUGCAUGGUGGGGGUUGGAAAGUUUCGGCGGUUGGGGAUGGACUCGCGGCUUAUCAGCUUGUUGGUGGGGUAGAGGCUUACCAAGGCUUUGACGGGUAGCCGGCCUGAGAGGGUGACCGGCCACAUUGGGACUGAGAUACGGCCCAGACUCCUACGGGAGGCAGCAGUGGGGAAUAUUGCACAAUGGGCGGAAGCCUGAUGCAGCAACGCCGCGUGCGGGAUGACGGCCUUCGGGUUGUAAACCGCUUUCGCCUGUGACGAGGCGUGAGUGGCGGUAAUGGGUAAAGAAGCACCGGCUAACUACGUG